rnacentral:rRNA from 1 species
UACGGGGGGAGCAAGCGUUGUUCGGAUUUACUGGGCGUUAAAGGGCGCGUAGGCGGUCGUGACAAGUUCACUUGUGAAAUCUCCGGGCUUAACUCGGAACGGUCAAGUGAUACUGUCGGACUAGAGUACAGAAGGGGCAAGCUGGAAUUCUCGGUGUAGCGGUGAAACGCGUAGAUAUCGAGAGGAACACCUGCGGCGAAGGCGGGUUGCUGGGCUGAUACUGACGCUGAGGCGCGAAAGCCAGGGAGCGAACGGG